rnacentral:tRNA from 1 species
GGCUUCGUGGUGUAAUGGUCAGCACGCUCGACGCGUAUUCUAGAGGUUCGUGGUUCAAUUCCCGGCGGAGGCG